rnacentral:rRNA from 1 species
UACGGAGGGGGCUAGCGUUGUUCGGAAUUACUGGGCGUAAAGCGCACGUAGGCGGCUUUGUAAGUUAGAGGUGAAAGCCCAGGGCUCAACCUUGGAAUUGCCUUUAAGACUGCAUCGCUUGAACAUCGGAGAGGUAAGUGGAAUUCCGAGUGUAGAGGUGAAAUUCGUAGAUAUUCGGAAGAACACCAGUGGCGAAGGCGACUUACUGGACGAUUGUUGACGCUGAGGUGCGAAAGCGUGGGGAGCAAACAGG